rnacentral:lncRNA from 1 species
UUAGUGUUUUUGGUAAAAAUCCAGUAUUUUUGGUGAUUCUAAUAAAUUAUUCUUCUUUCUAGCUGAUGGGAAUGGCACAGCAACACAGCCCACAGAUGGCCAUUGGAAUAGCAAUCAAACUGUGUUUGAAGCACAAAACACAUGGAUGAACAGUGACAGACUCUAUAUUGGAAUCCUUAUUUGUAGCUUGGUUUUGCUCAUGGUUUUGGUCACCAUCGUUAUCAAAAAGUAUUUCAUCAGCAAAAUGAGGACCUGGACACUAAAUGAGUUUCUGGGAACUCGUCCUCAAAUUCAAGCUUUGCAACUGCGAAGUCCAGAAGAAGACAAAUCCUACAUCAUGGAGGAAAACGAUUGUGUCACACAUUAAGGCCCAGAGAUUCUCUCCACCCGGGACUGCAGAAGACAGUUUUCAGGCAUCACCCUGUAAAGGCCUGUUCAAUCCUGGACCGUGUUUCUGUACCACUUUUCUAUGUCGUUCCAGCAGAUCAGUGUUAUUAGACAGAGUAACUUUCAGGGUCAAAGCUAUAUGUUGUCAAAUUCAUGUGUGUUUUUGUUUUUUUACAGAGCAAGUUGCUUCAUCUUUAAUUUUUAUGAUUACCUAGGAAAGAAAAAGAUGGAGCUGCUGUGCACAUGCACUUGAAAAAAAUACUGAUGAAUUCUCUCUUUUUGGCGACUGUAUUACAAGUUAGACUAUAUUGGCAAAGCUAAACUUUAGGAGCAGAUAACAGUCUGAAUGGUACAAGAAUAUUCCUCAGGGGUUCAGCUAUUGAAUGAAGCCUGUAAAUAUUUUUAAAUCAGAUGGCAUAUUAUUGUCCAAAGCAAUGUUAACACCAUAUAUGAAUAUAUGUACGCAUGUACCUAUCCAUAAAUGUUCAAUACACAUGUAUGCAUGUGGGUGGGGGAGACAGAGGGAAGAAGUAAAGAAGGGAAAGAGGAUGAUGGUGUGAAGGAGAGGGAAGCGGGAAAAGGGUGUGUGUAUAGGAAGGGAAGGAAUACUGAAUGAAAAUGGAUGUGAAUGAAAACCACCCCUUCCUUGGGUUAUUUCACUAUGACAUGUCCCAACUUCUAAAUAAUUUCCUGGCUUAUAAUGAAAGGCAAACAGACCACAGAAACAACAUUCAGUUGACAGGCUACAGUGGGAUUCAGAAAAGACACAGUGAAUAUAGACUUAGGCACUCUUUCAUGCUGCUUUUUCUUUUUUAAAAUGUAAGCCACUAAUACCUGAAGAAAAAAAAUUGAAGCAAAAGCUACAUAUUAAUAUUAUACAUAAAUUGAAACAUAAGUGACUUUUAGCACCGUGCUUACAUAAACUCAAAUAGUUACACAUUAAGAAAACUUCCAUUUAACAUGAAAAAUUUGAAAUACAUUAAAGCAUUAAUACUUUCUAUAAAACUAUAGUUACAACACUAUAAUUUGCUACAAGCAUGUAAAAACAUCAAGUGCUUUCUUGGAGUUUCAAGUUACCUCUUCAAAACACCGUCAUGCUUGCAUAUGUAGUCCUUUUCCAGUAAUCAGUAUGGACUUUCUUCUCUCAAGAGGUUUAUUUUCCAGGUACAUUGUAAGUUCAAGAAAACAAACCCAACAAUUAUGCAAUAUAAUUAU